rnacentral:lncRNA from 1 species
CAUAAUUAAUGUCUUUAUUUUCAUUUAUCAUUAUUAGAGUUUAAUUUGUUAUUAAUUGUAACAUACUCCACGCAAUCUGUUAUGAGGUUGUUACCUCCCUAAUUGUAUAUAUAUACAAUAAUAAAGAGUGUCAAUGGCUCAUAGGUCAUUAGCCCCAAAUACCACUGUGUUCAUUUUCCUCCUACCUCAUUCUUCAUCGUCGACGUCAUGUCUUCAACCUCUGAGGUAAUCUCAUCCAAUAUGGUAUCAGAUGGUGUUGUUGAUCCUACGGUCACAGCUCCGUUGCAUCCUUUGGGUACUCCGAUUCCGACGAAUAUCGUAUCUGUUCCGAUGAUCACUCACCCGAUGGCAACAAUGGGCUACAUCAAUAACACUUCUGCACAUUCAAUUCCUAUACUCAACUACACAGGAAACACCUCAUCAAUAUUAGAGUAUAAACAAUAUCUUGAAUCGGUUGUAAAAUCAGUUUAACAAAUUCAAUUGUGUAUGUUGUACAUAAAUACAUAACAAUAGUCGAAUAUAACACAUAACGAUUACAACAAUCAUUUUGGGAAACUAAGUAAUCGCAAUAUGGUAUCAGUUAUUAGGCGAUCGUUACAGAUUAUUGGCAUUGUUUCGACGAUGAUAAGUGUUGCUGAUCUUCCAGAGAGAGCUCCGUUCAAACCUAUCAAAAUCAAGCACCACCAGGCCGGAAAACUCACCAAUGAUAACUUCUUCACAUGGCAGGUGCAAAUCAAAACUCUUCUAAAGGGAUAUAAUCUUCUUUCAUACGUGGAUGAAUGGAUCGUGCUUGAUAACGAUCCGAAAAUUCAGCAAGAUCAAUUGCUUUUGGAGUAGAUCUCCUCCACACUUCACACCGGCGUCUUAGCAUAAAUCGCAAGCGUCCAAACUUCUGUCGAGGCUUGGACAUAGCUAUAGCAGUUGCAUGCGUCGUUUUUGGGUUCUAGGGUGUUGCAGAUCCGGAAGCAACUUCAAAUAAUAAAGAAUUGGGAUCUCUUAAUCGAUGCCUAUUUAAUCAAAAUCCCAAGGUUAGUGGAUACCUUGAGGACGGCCGGAGUAAGUGUUUCAAGAGGAGAAAUCAUAUUGUAUAUUCUUGGGGAAUUGGAUACUGACUACGAAGCUAUAGUUGCGGUAAUUUCAUCUCAAUUAGAGAUGAUUACUCUUCCAACAAUACACACGCUUCUCACAAAUCAAGAAAUUCGAAACUCAAAGGUUAGGAACUCUCAGUCGGCUUUUUCAAUUAAUGCAAGUAAUUACAACUCUAAACGAGAUCGGGAGACGAGGUUGGUAUAUCAAAUAUGCGACACAGACACAUCGCAAUUUCCUUUCACAACAAGCAUAACGAAUCUCUUUAUCCAACGCCUCCGGAGCAUAGAGCGCGUCAGAAAGCUCAGAUGACCAAACCUAUGCACUGUGAGACUAAAGACAGUCAAUCAAAGCACGAACCUUGAUAAUAAAAUCUGUCAUCAACUCAGCAUCAGUCUUCUCAAGAUUACGAAGUUGAUCCCUAAUUGAUUGUGAAUUGUAAGACUUGCGAGAAGAUAAGUGUGUUUCCAACAUCUUCCAACAAUCCGCAGCAGUUUUGUGAUUCAUAACUAGAGAAAACAUGGAAGCGUCUUCUGACGCUUGAAUCCACCCUAAAACAACACAGUUCUUCUCUUUCCAAGUGGUAAAUUCUGGAUUGAUCGAACUGUCGGCAUUCUUUUCUGUAGGAGCCGCUUGAGAUCCAUCAACCACAUUUUGAAGAUGAUGAAUUUUCAAAACAUUUAAAAACUGUGCCCUCCAAAAUAGAUAUGUAUCUACACGCUCGAAAGGAACAUGUAUCCAAUGUCCAACCUGUAAUCUAUAGAUACUAUCUGGAAGAGAAGGAGACAAGCUUGAUGUCGACAUCUCAACAGAAAAGAAAACAAAGAGAAGCAAAGAACAAACAAUAAUCCAACAAAAGAACUAAAAUCGAGAAGCACUGAAAAUUAAAUCAACAUUAUAUCACUGAAAUCAGAAUAUAAUAGCAAUGACUUAUAGAGAAAUUUAUAGAUGAUAGUAUUUCCUGAUUAAUAAUUGAAGAGACUUAUACAAAUUUAUUUAAAUGAAUGAAAAUUAUAUAGACUUUAUUCAGACAAAACAAAUCAAAAAUCACAGUUUAGUACACAUUUGUAAUUCUACUAAGUGAAGUAAUCCAGAGAUCCAAUCGGAAAUUAAAAAAAAAACAAAUCAAAUCAAAUUGAAAUCGAAAACUAACACGUAUCUGAAAAUUGAAAUCAAAUCUAACACGUAAUUUGAAAAUUGAAAUCAAAUCUGACAUGUAAAUUGAAAUCAAAUCUCCACGACGAAAUGCAGAAAUAAUACAAGAAGAAAACUAUGCAGAAACGAUGAAAUCACGACGGAAAAACACAAUCGCAAUCCGCGAAAACGAUGCAGAAAUCAAAUUCGUGAUUUCAAAACGAUGAAAUCGAUUUCAAAUCAGUGAUGAAAUCGAUGAAAUCAAAACGAUGCAGAAAUCGAAAAAGAACUCCAAGACGGAACUUGUCAAGAAUCCAGUCGCGACCGUGGCUCGCGAGACGGAACUCGCGAAUCCGAUCGACGACGCUACGAUGAACUAAUCCAAUCGGCAAAUCGGCGAUGAAUAGGACAAAAUUGGCAAAAGAAAUCUGUAGACGACUCUGAAUGAAAUCGGGAAAAAAAAACAAAUCGAUGUCGCUUAUCCAAUCCGCGAUAACACAUGCGAAAUUAGAAACGACGACAGACGAAAUCGGAAGAAAAAAAACGAAAUCAAGAAAUCGAGUUGCUCAAAAGAGGGGAAAAAAAACAAGAAUCGAUUUAAGAACGGAAGCAAGAAUCAAGAUCUAUACCUGCGAUCGAAGGAGAACCCAACUGAUACCAUGUGAGAUUUAUCAAUCCUCGAUGGGAGCGGCAAAUCUGAGAAACCAAUCCUUGUGUUUACCAAAUGUAAAAAUGUAUUAUCGAAAGUGAAAAAGUCAAAUGUAAUUACAGUAUUUAUAUCAAUUAUUAUACUAAUUAACUAAUACACACAACUAAUAGUCAUUAGUGUGAACUUAAUAAUAAGUGUAUUUGUGUCUUAACAUGCACAAGGCAACUCCGACAGAAAUUAAUGCACUCUGGAAUCCAGAUUCUACAGCUACGAGACAUGAUACACUUCGUAUUAGGGGAAGGGAGACCAGAGCUUCUUGGAUCUCUUACAAUUGAAAGAAAUUAUAAUACUCAAGAUCGAUUUCCUUUAUUCCAUAAUAACGUGGCUUUAUAUAGCCUUACAAAUACUAACAAAUAUGAAAACAAAUCAUAAAUUGUUAAAUCAACAUGCAUGAAAAGAAAUAAUAAACGUAGAUGGAAAUCAGGAAAUAAAUAAUUUAAUGUUAAAUGCAGUGUAGAGGAUCGAACGUAUCAGGACAUGUCUCAAGUAAUCAUCAGUAUGUUCAUCUACAUAAAUCUUUUUCGAACCAUCCAGGUAUAGUGGUUGUAGAUGGUGCGGCAGUACCAGUUGAAGGAGUUGGAGAUUCAAUCUUCUCCAAGAAUAAUCAUAAUAUUUAUGUUAAUUAUAUUUCUGUGGUUCCAUCAGUAGCAAGAAAUUUGCUAUCAGUCUACAAGCUUUGCAAUGAUAACAACUUCGGAAUGUGGUUUGACAAAUCAUGUGUAUGUCUAUUGGACUUGCAGACUGAAGAAUUGGUAGCAAAAGACAGAACUGUGAACGGAAUGUAAGAGCUCAAUCUGGACGAUGCGAGAACGAGAACGGAGGUCAACAAGGUGAAAUCUGUCUCGAUGGAUCUGUGGCAUUAUCGCUUGGGUCACAUUUCAUCAAAAACAACUUUGAACAUUGUUAAACUUUUUUAUCUUCCUGUGAAUUUAGUAAAUAAAGAUCUUAAUUGUCGCUUAUGUGUAAUGACUAAACAUCAUUGUCUUCCCUCAUAUACACGUCCGAAAAAUUCUGUAUCAAAUCUGUUAGAUAUUGUUUAUGCAGAUCUUUGGGAUUCGGCACCAAUACCUUUUACAUACGAACAUACAUUUUUAUUUUAUCAAUUUUGUUGAUGGGUUCUCCAAGAAUAAUUGGUAACAUACAUUUUUAUUUUAUCAAUUUUGUUGAUGGGUUCUCCAAGAAUAAUUGGUUAUUUCCCCUAAUAGCACAAUCCGAUGCAUUAAAGGUGUUUAAAUUGUUCAAAGUAUUUGUUAAAAAUCAGACGGAUCGGAAGAUAAAGGCUCUACAAACAGACAAUAGAGGCGAAUUUUUAUCAUUCAGGGGAUAUCUAGCAGAAUGUGGCAUUGAGCAUCAUCAUUCUUGUCCAUAUAUUCAUGCACAAAUGGGAAUUGUAGAGAGACGCCACAGACAUAUCGUAGACAUCAGGCUUGCCUUACUCCAUCACAGAAACAUUCCUCUCAGAUUCUGGCAUCAUGCGUUUGUCACGGCAAGUUUUCUCUACAAUCGAACUUUGACUACCUCACUUGCCGGCGACUCACCCUUCAAGGUUUGGUUCGGUGAAUCCUCAAAUUAUUCAGAUCUUCGGGUAUUCGGAUGUCUUAUUUAUCCAAAUCUACACCCACUUCGCAAAAAUAAAUUCAGUUUCAGAUCGGACCCUCACAUUUUUUUUAGGCUACCCACAGAACCACCGGGGGGUAUUUGUGUUAUAAUCCUAAAACAAACAAAUUUAUUAUUUCAAGGGAUUGUGUAUUUUUUGAAACAGAUUUCAGCCAAAAUAAACAACUAAUAGAAUCGCAAGAAUCCAUCAAGUCAUCAGGAUUUUUCGAUUCAAGUAUUCCUGGUCCACUGACAUCAGCCCAAGUUGACCCGAUAGAUUCAAACUCAAGGCAGCAGGACACGAUGUCAGACUCUAUCACAGAGGUCGAAUAUAAUGAUCAAGGCUUUGGUCAACAAAUCACAUCACCUUCAGCCUUCAGAUCAACAAUCAGGGACAGUAACAAAUCCCUAUAAAAUAUCAUACCACAAUUAAUGUCUUUAUUUUUAUUUAUCAUUAUUAGAGUAUAAUUUGUUAUUAAUUGUAACAAACUCUCCGCAAUCUGUUAUGGGGUUGUUAUCUCUCUAAUUGUAUAUAUAUAUACAUAAUACAAUAAUAAAGUGUCAAUGACUCAUCGAUCAUUAGCCCCAAAUACUACUGAGUUCAUUUUCCUCCUACCUCAUUCUUCAUCGUCGACAUCAUGUCUUCAACCUAUGAGGUAAUCUCAUCCAAUAUGGUAUCAGAUGGUGUUGCUGAUCUUACGGCCACAGCUCCGUUACAUCAUUUGGGUACUCCGAUUCCAGCGAACAUCGUAUCUGUUCCAAUGAUCACCCACCUGAUGGAAACAAUGGGCUACAUCAAUAACACUUUCGCACAUUCAAUUCUUGUACUCAACUACACAGGAAACACCUCAUCAAAUCAGAUCGGUGGCCACUUUUUCCAUCAGGCCGGCGGUCCAUUUCAAAAUCAGUUCGGCGGCCAUCUCCUUCAAGUUGGACAGCUCAAUCAGGUCAGUACGACUCUGAAUCAACCGUUCAAUCACGUCGGCGGUCUUUAAAUCGGGAAUCCAGCAUCUGACGGAGCUUCGCGAUCGAUCUUCGUUCGGCGGUUCUCAAAUCGAGCAUCCAGGAGGCGGAAUCUCCCCAAAUCAGGUCGACGGAACCUCUGAAUAUCACUUCACUACCAAUCUACAAAUUCCAUACAGCACAUCGGGUCCAUCUUCACAUCAGGUCGGAUCCACUUUUCCAAUCACCGGAAACCCCGAAUUGCUCGUUGGAACUCCAUCCUUCGGCUCGAUCCAGAGCUUUCUCCAUAUAAAGCUCAAAAGUACCAACUAUCUUAUAGAAGUGUCGUAUAUUCAAUAAAUAGACUUCCUUUAAAACCAUUAGGUUUUGAAUCACCUUUUUCGGUUUUAUAUAACAAAAACUCGUAUCUGG